AAAUAUUUCAGCAACUUCAGAGGCACUUAAUUUUCCUCCUUUUGUAAACUGGCAAUCUUGACUCCAACAUUGCUAGGAAUUACUUAUCUAUAUUUGUCCUUAAAUACAGGACUAUUAAAAAAAAAUCAAGGGCUGCUUUCUGCCCAUGGACACCGUGAGGAAGCCUCAUUAAAGUCUCUCUUCCCAGGGCCGUCAUGUCCUAAAGAGCCGGAACAGCUGCGGAAGCUCUUCAUGGGAGGGCUGAGCUUUGAAACAACUGAUGAGAGCCUGAGGAGCCCUUUUGAGCAGUGGAGAAGGCUCACAGAUUGUGUGGAUACCAAGUGAAGGUGAAAGAGAUCAGACGAGACCUUUCCUAAUUCCAUUCAUCUCUGAGGGAUUUAUAAGGAAGUUACCAACCCCUGGUCUAAAUAAUCAAACAGAGAAAAGAAGAAAAGGAAAAAAGGAUCAGAAGACACAGAAGAAUUUCUGGACGCACUUCCAUUUGCUAAUUAAAUGGAAGGAGCAAGUGGGGGUUUUUUUGUUUUUCCUCUACCUCAAUCAAAGACUAUGAAUCUUUCUUUUAAUCUCCAGAGCUAACUUCUCUAAUUAGUUUCCUAGAGGAAGAGGAUGCUUUACUAUUGGCAUUUCACACUCUGCACAAUGGUAUGAAUUUGACAUACCUCAGCUGAUCCAGCAGAAAGAGCUCUAAAACUCAAAAGUUAUGUCAUCAGUAACUGUCAAUAGAUAGAAGUGUUCGCAGGUACUACUAGUUCCAAUGUUCAUUGACUUUGUAACAACUGGUAUAUUAACUACAACCAAACAAAAUGAGGUAUUCUUUACAAGAAUUACAUAAGCCCUUUCCAAUAAAUUUUCUGUAACGAUGGAAAUAUUCUA
rnacentral:antisense_RNA from 1 species